AAAAAAUACUCUACUAAAACAGAGAGGUUGCAUGUAAAAUACAACAAUAUGCCAUAAGAAAAAUGAUAUGGUUAUGUUUAAGACUUUGUCAGCAUCUUGUUAUGCUUGAUUUACUCUGUGAUGCAGCUCACUGUCUGUGUGGUGGGAGGGUUAGACUAGGGUAGUGUUAGGCUUAGGGUUCGGUUAGGCUUAAGGUAGGGUUAGGCUUACUAUAGGGUUAGGGUUAAUGCUAGAGUAGGCUUAGUGUAGGGUUAGGCCACAGGUUAGGGUUAGGGUAAGGGUUAGUAUUGUGGUAGUAUUAAGAAUAGCAUAGGUUUAGGUUAAGGUUAGGAUAGGGCUAGGGUAGGGUUAUGGUUAUAGUUAGUGUAUUGUUAGUGUUUGGGUUAGUGUAGGGUUAGGGUAAAGGUUAAGGUUAGGGUAUGGUUAGGGCUAGGAUGUUGUUAGAGUAGGGUUAGGGCUAGGAUUAGGCUAAGGGUAAGGUUAGUGUAGGGUUGGUGUUAAGGUUAGUAUGAGGUUAGGUUUAAUGUUAUGGUAGGGAUAGGGUAGAGCUAGGGUUAGGUUUAUGAUUAGGGUUAGGGCAGGGCUAUGGUUAGAGUAGGGCAGGGUUAUGGUAGGGAUUGGGUAGAGUAUUGUUUGGGUAGUAUACUGUUCCAGUUAUUAUUAGGGAUUAUGGCUAGGGUUAGCAUUAGUGUGCUGUUGACCUGGUUCCACAGUAGGAGGAGGGUUGUGACUUUUGGGUUGUCCUGGCUCAGCAACUCUGUUUUAUAGAAGACCAGGUACCAAGAGAAUCUUCCGUUCACAUUCUCAGACAAUAGCUGACUGGUAGCAAGUGAAUCCAUUGGAAGUAUAUGUGAAUGUCAGGGGAGCAGAUUUUUGGACUCUGGAGAGACCCUGCUAUGUCACUAUGUCACUAAUAGGCAAGCUUACCUGUUCUGAGGGUAGUGGAGAAAUGUGGCUUUUGUGUACUUUAAGGGUUUUAAUCUACAUCUCCAGCAUGUAGGAUUGAUUUGGGGGCACUUUGACUCUGGAUAAUAAUGCUGAUUUAACCUACUUUAUUCUUUGAAUAACUAAAUAUGGAAUGAGUAAUGUCUCAUACAGUCAAAAAUGCCUUCAAAUAGCCGAUUAGAGACUCAUUUUAUUGCAAAUCUUUAAGACUCUGGUAGACUUUAAAUGUGAUUUCACCUUAAUAUACAUUUUAGAGCUAAUUACUCCAAUCAGAGGAGAGAUCGAUACUUAACUGGCAUCAUUUUUAAAGUGGAUCAGGAUUCUGAAUGGGAUACAAAGCAAAACUUGCAUGCUAGAUGUUACUUUGUUAUUUGUUAGGUCCUGAUCAUUUUUGGCUACAUGAUGUCAAGUGUUACCCCAUCUCAAAAAUAAAUACAUUUAGAUAUGAUCACCUUGAGGCUUUAAUUAACACCCUGCAAUGUCUAAAGUGUCACACAGAGCAAAGGCCACAAUCCAUGACUCUCUAGGCCCCAAACAAUGAGACUCCCAUUCAUUACCUCUCAGACUUCAGCUUUUAGACUCUUUCUCUUUCACUCCAUUCCAGGCAAUCAAUUUCCUUGUUCUUCCUCCCACAUGUUGAGCACGUUUGGUACCAGGCACCCCGACCUCUGGGCUGACUCAUUUCCUCUCAUCACUUUCUCCAAGUCUGCCUUCACAUAUCUUUUUCUCAAUGAGGCUUUACUUGGCCACCUCAUUUAAAAUGACAAAUGACCUGUCUGCCACCCAAUGGUCCUCCUGAUCUCACGUAUCCCACUGCAUUGUAUAUUUUUCCAUGCUCUUAUUGAUUUAUAACAUCACAGAUAAUUUACCUGUUCAUAUAUACACACAUAUACCCAUUAUAGAUAUACAACCUGUAUCUAGAUUUAUAUAUUUAUGUGGGCUUAUUAUCCUGUUUUAGUCACCUCCAUAAGGGUGCUCUUUGUUAUGUCUACCGGUGAAUUGCCAACAUCCGCGAUUGAAGCUGGGACACAGAAACUGUACAAUAAAUACUUAUUGAAUGAAUCAAUUGUGAUUGCAGGAGUUAAGGAAGGCAAUAAGAAUAGAGGAGGCAUGAACACACAAGAACUUGGGAAGAGAGGAAUGUGAGCUGUGAAAAACCAAGCAGAAGUGUUUCCAUCUCAAUGGCACUAUGAGCUGGAGAAGUCAUAGGAAACCAAAGCACUCAAGAGGAGACACAGCUAUCAAGAACUCCUGUCCACCGGGCAUUGGUGGAAGGAGAUGAAGCCAUUUUUACCAACCUGAACCUUUUUUCCGUGGGGCACUAUACAGCUUAACCUAUGAACUCUGUCGAGCCGUUGAGGGCUCCUAAACAAUUUCUUAGCACGGAGUUCCUCUUUUCAGCAAACCCUGCUUCUCACUGAGUACAGAGUCGAAGCAAUCCUACAGCACUAACAUUUCAAUUGUUGCAUAUGGAGCCCAGUACAUAAAGGACUCCCCAAAGAGAGCGGUUUAUAACUGGAUUAUAGCUGCUCCACACAUUUAACUUUCCAUGAAUAGUUUCUGACGUUUUGAAGCACCCCAAGUCAUAACUUUUCUAUCCACGCAUGUAGGAAAGCAGUCACUGAUUGUGCGUUUCUUCAUUGACCAGAAUACAAACAUGGAUGAGACUGUUAGCACCCAUGGUAUCUGAGGGAGAACUUACAGAAUUUGUUUACCUAUGUUAUAUAUAAGACAAUAGAUUGUAUAUACAAAUAUAGAAAACAUUUCACUUGUUUGUAUGUGCACUAUAUGUAUUUUGAGUGCAGAUCAAGUAUGUAAUGGUCCCACUUAUUAUUAGUUUCAUUUUUUUACAAUUUCAUAACUGUGGCCUAAAAAUAGUAGGUGGAAAAUUUUAGAAGCAAUCCACACAUAUGUGUUAAAUUACACGACAUUUUGAGUACCGGGAUAAAUUCUCAUUCUGUAUUGCUUCUUCUUGCCCAAAAUAUAACUCAUUUCUCUGGUCAGUGCAUCUGCUCUGUAUAUCUUGCCUGCUACCUCCAUGAUCAGAACCAUUUAGGAACAGUGUAGGGUCUGUAUUCAAAUCAACCUGUUAUGCUUAGCAGUGUCUCAGUCAUGAUACUGAAAACUGAAUAUGUUAGAGAAAAAUUGGCUAGUGUCUUCUUCAAGUGAAAUGUAAAGGUCUCCACUUGAGGGGGGUUUUAUAGAGCUAUCAUGUUGUUAAAUCAUAUACUAGGCAUGUUUUAUAAAUUAACCUAUGUUAUAGAUAUGUAUGUACAAGAGAAAAGCAUGGUGCAUAUAGGGGCUGGUAUUAUUUGUGAUUUCUGAUAUUCACUGUAUUCUUGGAACACAGAAUUGUAUACCAUUGGCUUUCCCCAACCCUAAUGUUGUAUGUUUAAUGGAGACUUUGUUCUGUGACUAUUAAUCAAGUUCUGAACUCUACCAAGGAAGCACACACUUAUAUACACUUUCCUUACUAAGAAAAUGUUUCUCAUUUGUUCAAUCCAUUUACAGAUGGAGCUUCAUGGUAUGGGUAUCUGUGGUGUGGCCAAAGAAAAAUAAGGCAAGAAGAGGGAGAAAGAGGUUCUGGUUUAUUAUGGGUGCUAUAAGUAGAUGCCCAAAAUUCCCAAUGGAAAAAAUGCCCCCAGGCACACCACUCAUGGCGACUUCCAAAGUUUGUUCUCAGUAACUGCAUUCACACAAUACAUAAUUUUAACAGAUCCAUUUAUGGCUUUGAAAUGUGAAGUGUCCAAUGAAGAGAAGAAAUACUUAAAAGAGGAAAACUGGAAAAUAUUAAGAGCUGGACGGAGUUACUGAAAAACAGCCAGGUAGUGUGACUUUAGUUAAUAUAAAGGGCAAAUGUCUGGCCAUCUUUCAGUAUUUGCAAGAGCUCUACUCAUUAAGAUGUAUAAGGAUGGUUUUGAAUCAUUAGGAAAAGGUGAAGUUAUGUGUCUAUCUUAGCAUAUUCUGGGAAAAAAAUUAAAACAGUUCCAUUUAGAUUGAGUUCCAUCAAAAUCAUUAAAGUUAGUAAGAGUGAAUCCUCAAGUUUUUAAGGCAUGCAAAUUUCCUUCUCUUUCCCUCUUUCUCCCUCCCUCUCUUUCUCCUCUCUCAUCUUUGCUCUAUCCUGUCUUCUUUCUCAUUCCUGCCCCACCACAUGCAUAUUGCAUUUGUGCAUAAUACUUAUUUAGUGUUUGGUUUUGAUGUUACUGGCGAGGUGGACUUAUAUUUAAGGAAACACUGUUGCAGAACAAUUUAAGUACUUGGAAAUGAUCUUACAUUUUCAUUUCUCAUAUAGAAAAAAUAUGCUAGUAUAUAUUCAUUAUUCAUUUAAGUUCGGUCAACUCUCAAUUAUCUCUGGUAAUAGAGAGUAGGGAUAAAAUGAGCAGGUGAAAUCUAUUUCUAGUCCCCAAAUACAACUUGCAGUCUCUUCCUCCUUCCUUCUUCACUAGAAGCAGAGCUAUGUCUCUUUCCUUUUGUUUGUGGACUCCUUUCAACUGUUGAAUGACCUUAAGAAAAACAACCCAAGGUAGGGGGAAAAAACCCAAACACAAGGAUGAUCUCAAAUCCUUUCUAAAAUUAAGACAGCAAACAUAAUCUAUAAGAGCUAAUUUUUAAAAAGCUGGGCUGCUUUUUCAAACAUUGUGUCUGAAACAGUGUGUCACUACCAGAGAAGAGUAGAACGCCCUUCAUUAAAUGAUGCUAUUUUUGAAAGGCAUUCAUCCAUUUAGGAGACAGUUUCUUCUCAUUGCAAAUGUGUUUUAACUUUCAGAAUAGCAGUUGGAUGUUUAAACAUAAUAGCUUUAUAUAUUUUAUAAUUUACAGAGGAGGACAAAUAAGCACUGGCUUAAUAAAAUCAUUAACUAUAGAAUUAAGAACAUUUCAAGCAUGACCUCCAGACAGCUAGCAUCAGGCUAGGUUUCCUAGCUGUUCCCUAACUAGCAAUAGUAUUGACUUUUUAAAAGUAAGAGUGAAUGGAAUUUAUCCAAGGAAGAAUCAAUAUGAAGCUGAAACUCCAAGGUCUUAACAGCUAAUCUUGAAGAACAUCACUCAGAGGAGAGAUUAGUAUGGCAAUGAACAUACAACCAAAAAUGUAAAGGAUGAAAUAACUGCAUAAAACUCAUAUAGCCUAAUCUGUGUACAGUGUUGAUACCUGGCAAUUAAUAAACACAAGAGAGUGGAUAUUCAUGUUACUGUCCUUGCCCCAGUGGGAAAUCCGCAUUAAACAAAGAAAACAAGAUCCUCACAGACACAGAGGAAAAGGACACUAUAAUUUUAUACACAUUGUUCUGAGCGAUGUCAAUAACCAUUGAUUACUUUUCUUUGUGAAGACCCAAAUAGAAUCCUGUAAACUGGCCUCAUCUUUGAUGAUACAAAAGGUCAGAAUAUUUCAAAACAUUAUCAGAGAUGUUGUUUUCUUGUUCUUUUUCAAACUCAUCUGAGGAGUCUGAUCUGAUGAGUAUUGUGUAGGGAAACUCGUUGUCUCCCAUAAAGUAACAAGAGUAGGGAAGAGGGACCAGACACAAAUGCGGUUCUGAGAAACAGUGUCCCAGAGGAGGACAAGAACACCCCUCCAGAGUGCAUGGUGAUAAACACCUCUGUGGUCAUGUUUGUUGUGUGACACUAUUCUUGAACAAUUUCUAUUUACAAUUUCUAUUGGUGAAUGUAUAAUUUAUAUACCUAUUUAUAUUAUAUCAUUUGUAUAUAAUAUAGAUAAUGUCCAUUUAUAUCAUCCAUAUAUAAUACAGAUGAUAUCUAUUUAUAUUAUAUAAUUUAUAUGUAACAGAAAUAUACUAUCUAUUUGUAAAUGUGUAAUAUAUAUUGAACAAUAUCAAUUUACCCUAGGUAGCAUACCAACAACAGAGCAAAUUAAAGCUAUCAUCAGAGUUUGAUUGAGGUUACUUAUAGAAAUCUGGAUGGGGAGCAGAAAUGACUCAAAGACAUCUGCAUCACUAAAUGGCCACCCCAGAGUAGAUGAUGGAUCAUCAAUUCUAGAAACCUAUAGCUUACUACACAGCCUUCAUGAAGUUCAACAUGUUUAAGAGAGACCUUUCCCUGUGGUUCUGUUACUCUGAACCUCUUCUAGGCUUCAUGAAUGGCAUAAGAGUCUUCUAGACGUUCAGCUGUUUCUACUUCUUCCAGGUGGCUUGGGUGGUUGAAACUUGGGUGGUUGUUUGAAUAUAUCUCUUAGCAGACCUAAUUGCUUAUAGAAACUUAGGGAGUCAGGAGCCUAGUGUAUCUGGUCAGUUUCAGGGAAUUCCUGAAACCUUUGAGUUGUUUACCCAGCUUCCUGCAGGAUGGAGUGUUUCCUUUACCUCUGAAAACAUCCUAUGUCUUAAAGAUCUUCCCUCCAAGAUGAACAUUUUCAUCUGGGUGGAAAUUACUACACAGUAAUAUUAACUAAGAAAAAUGGUAUCUGGAAGAAAGGAGAAAUUUUUAGUAAGUAUAAGAAGUAUAAAAAUAGAAGAAAGAAAAAUAGAUAUGAGUCCAUUGUGGUAUCUUUUUGAGAUACUUCUCAAGGGCUUAUGUGUGAAAGGCUUGCUUGCCUACUAAUGGGCUUUGAAGUUGUUACUGGAUUGUGAGGGCUUUACUGCCAUCAAUGAAGUCAACUUUGAUGACUUUGCAAGCUAACAGCCUUACCAGGAGGGGAUUGAGUAUUUCAGAGAUGGAGUCUAGUUGGAAAAAGUAUAUCACUAGGAACAUGUUGUUAGACAUUAUUUUCCAUGCCUUCCUAUUCUCUCUGUGUGUAUAAGAUGAACAUCUUUCCUUUACCACCCCUGAUGCCAUAAUCUUCUAUCUCAACUAUCUAUUUCAGCACAUGGUAGGCCCUUAGCAAUGGAGCCUUAACCACGGGUUAAAAUUGCUGAAACCAUGAGCUCAAAUAAUAUUUUCUUCAUUAAACUGUUUAUCUCAGGCCUUUGUUACCAUGAUGAAAAGUCAAAUACAUGACUUGAUAUGGAGUGUGAGCAUUAUCUAGUUCUAUAGUUGGAAAUUUUUGAAUUGAGAAAACAUGUUACCCGUGGUCCAUGCAAGAGUAUUUAAAUCCAAGAAGAUGAAUGGAAUAAAAGAU
rnacentral:lncRNA from 1 species